CAUUGUUAUAGGUAAAAGUUAGAAGACGAAAGUUAAUUUUGAAAUUCACGGCGGUUCGUGAAGCACGUGGCGCUGUCAACCUCGUACGCGAGUCAAGAAAGACGUCCCUCUAUUUACGACAUAAGGAUCAGAAGACAGUCUAAUGAAUGAAAAAAGAAAAAAAUUAAAUAUCUCGCGCGUUGAAGGUGGAUUCGGUGCAGGAAAUGGCGCGCGCGUAGGAGAAGAGAAAAACAGAAGCGUUUGCCAUUUUGGCACGAAGUUAAAUUUACGAUGAAACCCAAUUUUAAAUCAUAUUUGUUCCAAGUCACCUGUCGUCGUGCAAUUAAGGAGGAUGAGUCGACAAACGAUAACCUACGGUCAUUUUGUUGUUGCUAAUAAGAUUGUAGCACUGGCUAACGACUAUGCUCGUCACUUUUUAACGUUAAUUAUAUCGUUAGGUUGCAACGGCAAUGCUAUAAAUUUCGUCCUGUAACUUUUGAACAUAUAUCCUUUCCUAAAUUAUUAGAUGCAUGGCACGAUUAGAACGAAUACAGUUGACGGGAGAUUUGAAUCGGAUACUCAAUAUUUAAAUAAAACCGGACGAAGAAAAGGACGGUGACGACGCAGAAGUUUAAGAAGUAGACAGAGAGAUGAAGGUUGCAGACGUAAAGCAUAAACAGUGGAGGUGCGAUUUGACGCGCACUCAGCCAUCCAAGGCGCAUCUCGCUCGUUGAACGUACGCUUUAAGAAUCCCGAAGAAGCGACCAACCCAAUGGCUGGAAUCUGUAAAUCUGUCAUUGCGGCCAUAUUCGUGCGGCUGGUACCGCAGGAUAUGAACUUCUGCUCGUCGUAUACACCACCGUCGUACGACUCUAGAUCUCCGCGUUUCUCUUCUUUUCAGAGCUUUGCACCGAAACGGAAGCUUCUCCCUGUUUCUCGAAAUAACAAAUCUUCUUUUUGUUUUCACAAAUGUGACAAACUCUAGGAAACUACAUAUCUUUUUUGUCAUCUUCCUCAUGAAUUAAGAAACUCAUUUUUUUUAAAGACUAAAAUCACAGUUUUUCUUUAUUACAAUGUAAACUCCUUCUUACUUAAUUAAUAAUUUGAACUUAUUCUUAUUGUAAUUUAAUUUUACUUGACGUUAUGCAGAAAGUGAACUCUUUUUAGAUAAAUAAUGAUGAUCCAACUUUAUAAUGGAAUUGAAGAAUAGAUCUGUUUUAUUGUAGAUUCUAUUGUAGAGAUUGAAGAUUCGGUGGAAAGCUGAAAAACCAUUUGGUUGUAUCAAAGUGCGUGGAAACUAUAAAAGCGGAGAGGCAGUCGUCGCACCGUAUACGCGGUAUUCCCUCUGGUAGCUGGCGAUGACGGAUUCAUGGCCCGUGGGAUAACGCAAGACCUCACCCCGAGAUGUUUCGGUUUACGGAUGCACGCUCUUCCCUUCUUUUUUCUUCUAUUUCUCACCUUUUUUUUCCGUUUCAUCUUCCGAGCGAUUCAUUUGUCGGUCUUUGAUCCGCGACCAACAAGCUACUACCGGAAAAUUGGCGAGAUUUAUUAAACGGUUGUCUUCUCUAGACCGUUAUCCAUCGUUCAUUUCUUUUCUACUUUUAUUUAUUCCAGGAUAUCGUAGAAGAUACACUGUUUAUUGGAUAGACUUUCAAGGGGCUUGUAUUUGGGUGGUCAGAAGAGGAAGCGAAACGAUGGAAAAGUGACAAAUUCCAGAUACUUCGUCGGAGGUCGUCGAACGUGUUCUCAAUGGGACACAAGAACCUGCAGGGAUCCAAGAGCAAAAUAAAGGGCUACCUUUGGUAUCAAAUUUUAACACCUUAUCAGUGGGACCUACACCUACCUCGAGAAUGUAAAAACACCAGGAACCAAGUUGCAAUUACAAACAUAUUUGAAACCAAUAGAAGAAAGGAAUUUCUCAAAAUUUUUCAAAAACCUAUCGAUGAUAAGGUGUUAAUUUUCCCUUUAACGGAUACACCUUGCUAUCAUACAAGCAACAAAGAAACCCGAAUUAUCGCGGUCCGUAUAAAGACGCUCCCGGAUGAGGAUGAUGAGGAUGCGCAGGAUAAUGGACGGAGUUCAUGUGUGCAGUUGGUUGUCCAUGGUGUCCAGGAUAAGCCCAUGGUCCCGUUGCCGUUGGACCGUAAAAUUGAUGGUGUUCCUGGCUCGAUAUGCUUGGAAUUUGUACGGCAGGAUUUUGCAUGCUGGAAACAGCGACCGAAUCGCACUCGUCCGACUCGCAAUCACGGAAACCUUUGGCAAACGGAUUGCUGGCGAUCUUCAACUGCGUGAUGCGAUGAUUCUGGUAGGCGGUCACAGCGGUGAACCGGGUUUCAGGGAAGGUGAACGUUUUGAAGUUCUCUGUGCGAGGAUCCGGGGCUGAACCAGGUGGCGAGGGUGCCACUACCACGUGGCAACGUGGCUGAUAUCUGUGCAUCGAGUUUAAGAUUAUCUGAAACAGAAUACGUAUAAACAUUUACAGAGAGUCUUGGGAAAAAUCUGUCCUUGGAAAUAUGUAAGCAUCUCAAGUUUUUUCGACGAUCCUCUGUUAUAAUCGUUAUUGGAAGAUAGUGGUCGUAAGGGGGUAAGAAGAAACGAAGAGGAAGAAGAAUAGAAAGAAAAAAAAAACACACGUGAGGACCUUCCUUUUUCUGGAGGAAGGACCACCGCAGGGGGGCGGUCACGAUGUUUGACAGCCACAAGAGACUCGGUGACUAAUUAGUGUAAAAACUAACCCUACGACCUACUCCGGCAACCCGACACCCUCGUCCUUCCUCCCGCGCACACUUACUGGCAUAUGCCGAGGCAUGUGUCUCUUUGGAUACAUCGAAAGAAGAGCAUAGAGGGGAAUGGAAGGAGGAAAAGAAGAGUCAUCCUCGCAAUACGGAAAAGUGUGCGUGUGGCCUGACACUGGCAACCAAGGAAUUUCGACACGCGAUUUUCCAUUUUCUUUUUUUUCUUUAUUUGUUCCGCUUCAUUGAGAGCUAAUCGUUAACUAAAAGAAGGACAAUUGACUAGAAACGCCAAGGUUUCUUUGUAAUCGGUAUAUUUAUCUUCCUAUGUAUCUCAUGCGGAAAAACAUAAGGGGAUAAAGCACCAAUUAAAAAGUCGAAAUCGUCCAGUAUUUCACUACGUUGGAUUCCAAUUUUUUACAAAGCCUGCUUGGCACGUCUGUUCAAGAGCAAUUAAAGGAACAAACUGUUUCGUGGCACGUGAAAGAAAGGGUCCACGAGUCAAAAUUCUUUCUGCGCGUAAAGCAAUAAAUUCUGAAACGGAACACGAGCCAAAACCACCAAGAAGUUUCUCUCUCUCUCUCUCUAUAAACGAACGGGUUCAAGAAAAUGCGUUUGAAUAAAAUAGUGGUAAAUCAGGAGCAAGAGCAACCGGAUGGAAAGCAAUCCUAAGAGGACAAAUCGUGACAUCAUCUUCCGACUAGCGUCUUGAUCCCGAAGAUUCGCGCACCGUCCUCCCGCUGAUUAGUGACUGAAGCCGGAUCAAAUUCAUUAAUCGAUACAAAGAGAUUCAGAGGAUUGAUCUGUGCGACGAUUCUCCUGGGAAGAAAGGAAUCGAGCUAAGAAAUUUACCGUGCAUCCCUCAGGCCCUUAUAAUUUCUCGGGGAAGACGGGCUCGUAUCUCAGGUCAAUUAAGGCGAACUCGUCCGUAAACGACAAACACGUGGAACGCGAUACUGUCGCAAACGUUUCUCUGCAUCCCUCGUUCUACUUUAUUACGUGCGUACUAUCUUAUGAUAAAUCGAAGAACAUUCAGAAAAGUUGAAGAUGAUAGAGAAAAACGAUUGGAGCUUCGCUUUAACAAGUUACGAGCUUGUCGAACGAAACCGGCUGCUUCAUCCAGUGUGCACCGCUGGCAGGACUAUCAGGGUGAACGUGAAUCCUUGGAGGAGAGACAGGAUCUGCGCGACCGGCAACCACCCAGGCACUGCUAUGGAAAGCGUAUCUGUACCUUUUGUCGUCGCAGGGAACGAAGUCCAUCACUAACAAAUAAUCGGUAUUGGGGUCCAAGCCGAAAAAUCGACACUGUAAAGUCAACAUUUAUUUUUUUUUCUACACCCUCGAAAAUCAUAGAGUAGCAAUAUUUCUAUAAUACCUGAAAAAGUGGUUUCGCCUCGAGCGCGGCUCCAGCGCCGACCAGAGCAGGAUGAAGAGGCCUUUUCGAACUGAUUUCUUCCGUCGAAUUACCGCCAUUCUCGUUCGGAUGAUGAUCACCGUGAUGAUGGUUGUUGUUGUUACUGUCGUUACGAGAUUCGAUGGUAGCCGUCGAAGAUACCGACGAAUUGGUAACACGCGGUGUUAGCGAUGCUUUUGGUGAUGGCACAUUGGCGAUGGACUGACCAUGCUGACCCGGAUGAUGCGUGGCCCAUUGUUGGUAACAACAAUCGGCAGCGAUAUCGUGUCUCUGUUCAUGUUGCUGUUGCAUCCUUGCAAACUUUUAAACCGCAUACACAAGAUCCUUUGCCCUUCUCUUAACAAAUUCACUAUAUCAAUCUUUUAAGACCUUCUCAAUCUACGAUUCUUUUUAAUUGUAAGUACAUAAUUUACAUAAUCAUUAUCACCGUCACUUUGUUUUUAUAUUUAUAACGUAAAGCACAUCAUCCCCUUAGGGUAAUCAACACUCGAAGCUUCGUCUUGAUGUAUACAAUCCUUUUAGUCAGUACGAAACAAUGGGACGACAUAUGGAUACGGAAUUACAUCCCUCGUUGUCAACGAUGAAAUAACAGGAAGAAAGAGAAAUCGGUGGAGAAUGCUUAUCUUUCGCUUGGCCCGGGGUUGGUCGUUAAGUCGUCGCAAUCAGCGAGGUUCAAGAUCCUGGCGGAAUAUCAGAGGAUGCUCGACAUCGUCGACGGGUUCUCACACCUCUCGUCAACAGGACUUGUCCUCACCUCGGUAUCCGGACGCUGACAAGAGCUUAAAGCUCGCCUCGUGAAUCGGAUGAAUCAGAAAGAACUCCCCCGAGUCGACUACACACCUCGUGGCUUAUCAUCGAGACAUCACUCUCCUAUGUGUAUAUAUUCCCUCUCUCUUUUCACGAGGGAGAAUCUCCUCCUUCUUCUCUACAUUUCUGUUGGUUUCCUGACGGUAAACCGAUUCAGGGAUAGUGGAGAGGAGGAUUGAGAGGCAGGGAAGCAUUUGUACAAGGAAGGAGGGGUUUCUCGAGGAUCCUCCUACGCGGGACACCCACGCCAGGCUAACUUCGGUUCACUUGGGACGCUGACUGCAACCUCUUCCUUUGGAUCCGGUGCCAAAAGGCGGAGUCUUCUCGUACGGGAAGAAACACUUGGGGGGAAUAGAGCACGAGCUUCAGCCUCGCAAGGGAAUGAGAAACCUUUCCUUGUGUAUUAUACGCUUGAUUGCGGACCACUAGGGUUAAUUGAUUAAAAUGAGGUAAGAAACCGUUUGGAUUCAACCUUCAUCUAUGCUCUUCUAAGAUGUAUUCUUCUUCAGGUAGAAAUAAUAAGAAACAAAACAAAUUUACAAUCAAAGGGUUGAAUGGAACGCAAUGUAAACAUAAUAUCUUAGUAUUCCUUACUAAUCUUACUACAUAUAUGCUUCAAGACUUAAUUAAAAGGUAUUGAAAUUCUUUAUUGUAUACAACUUUUUACAAUAUAUUUUAAUACAUUUUGAUGAUGUUUAUGUUGUUUGCACAGUGUUACUAACCGGAGUAUUCGGUGUAUAGUAAACCAAUUGAAUAUUUAUGCCAAUACAACCACUGUUUUGUUACGCACUUUAUGAAGCCUUUGAUUAAGUAUAAAUAAAUUGGAAAAUUAAACUGUAAUUGAAAAAA